AUGCCUCACUGCGGACAAGAACUGAUUAGCCUGCGCCGCCUUGCUGUUCCUGUCCGCGGGUGUAGCCAAAGGUUUCAUUGGUGCUUUGUCAUCAUUUCAAGUUUACAGAUGCAACCCAGUCAGUUCUUCCAAGGCACCAAAUACUGGCACGUGACCAAACCGCUCCUUCAUAGUGUGUGUUUCAAUACUAAAACUUUAUCGUUUUCAAUCCAGGUCACCAUAGCCACCCAGAUCCAGUCUGUAUCCAGAUCAGAUGGUCACUGCAGUCACCUGGAUCCAGUUCGUAUUCAGUCUAGAAUGGUGGAUGAGCACCUAGAGACAACCUAGACCGCCCUGAAUGUCAGUGGAGACUAUGACACCUAGAGGAACCCCAGAGACAGGUCUGCUCCGAAGACCACAUUGGCCAUCAGGACUAGACCAAGAGAACUAGACGAGUCCUCUGCACAAUCUGACCUGUGCUGCAGCCUAGAAUUAAACCAGAGGAGAACUGGCCCCCUGACUGAGCCUGGUUUCUCCAAAGGUUUUUUCUCCAUUUCUGUCACAAGUGGAGUUUUGGUUCCUUGCUGUUGUUGCCUUUGUCUUGCUUAUUUGGGGACGUUUGACUGAUUGCACAGACACUAUUGGAAGAGAGCUGAACUGGAUGGAUCACUGGAUUACUGAAUCAUCAGUGAACUAACAUUAGUUGGAAAAAUUACUUGUUAUUGUCCUCUUGCAUUAUUGACAAACUGUUUGACACAAUCAGUACUGUAUUAUAUAUACUGUAAUACCUGGUUAUUUUUUUUUGCUUCUGCAUCAUUUUAAAGAUGUAAUUGUAAACAGUAGCAAUAUUUGUAAAUGUUUGUUUGCUAACAUUUUGUUUAGCUUGUUUGGUCUUUUUUUUAUUUAAUUAAAAAGUUUAAACUGAAUUUUGCAGUUGUAUUACAGAUGUAAUGUUUGUCAACUGGAGCUUUAAAAGGGAUAGUUCACCCAAAAAAUGAAAAUUUGCUGUUAAUUUACUGAAACUCAGACCUUCCAAAAUGCAGGUGACUUUUUUCUUCAAGACUGUAUGUUUAGUCUAUGAAAGCUAUGAGUAAAGCUAUAAGUAAAAUGUCACAUGUUGUCAACUCAGGGUUACGGUAAGUACAACAAGGCAUGAAUGUUGCAUUACAUCCCCAAUUCCAAUAAUGGCCACAAAUCUGUGUUUUUAGAACAGUAAAAGCUUUUUUACUGUAGUCACAAUUUUCUAUUGAAUCACAUUUAUCAAAAAAAAAAAAAAAAAAAAAACUGAUAAAAGCAUAUAUACCCCCACUUUAUUAGUAUUUAAAUAAUAUCUUGUGUGCUAUUAAUAAGUAAAUCUUGUGUGCUAUUGGUAAUGUUAUAAAUGCAGACUGGUAUUAAAUAAAGGCUAUUAUGUGUUGUAAUGUGUGUUUUUA
ensembl:lncRNA